rnacentral:rRNA from 1 species
UACGUAGGGGGCUAGCGUUGUCCGGAAUCAUUGGGCGUAAAGAGCGUGUAGGCGGCCCGGUAAGUCCGCUGUGAAAGUCGGGGGCUCAACCCUCGAAUGCCGGUGGAUACUGUCGGGCUAGAGUGCGGAAGAGGCGAGUGGAAUUCCUGGUGUAGCGGUGAAAUGCGUAGAGAUCAGGCGGAACACCCGUGGCGAAGGCGGCCAGCUGGGCCGUCCCUGACGCUGAGGCGCGAAGGCGUGGGGAGCGAACGGGG